GAUGAACGCUGGCGGCGUGCCUAAUACAUGCAAGUCGAGCGAACGGACGAGAAGCUUGCUUCUCUGAUGUUAGCGGCGGACGGGUGAGUAACACGUGGAUAACCUACCUAUAAGACUGGGAUAACUUCGGGAAACCGGAGCUAAUACCGGAUAAUAUUUUGAACCGCAUGGUUCAAAAGUGAAAGACGGUCUUGCUGUCACUUAUAGAUGGAUCCGCGCUGCAUUAGCUAGUUGGUAAGGUAACGGCUUACCAAGGCAACGAUGCAUAGCCGACCUGAGAGGGUGAUCGGCCACACUGGAACUGAGACACGGUCCAGACUCCUACGGGAGGCAGCAGUAGGGAAUCUUCCGCGAUGGGCGAAAGCCUGACGGAGCAACGCCGCGUGAGUGAUGAAGGUCUUCGGCUCGUUAAACUCUGUUAUUAGGGAAGAACAUAUGUGUAAGUAACUGUGCACAUCUUGACGGUACCUAAUCAGAAAGCCACGGCUAACUACGUG
rnacentral:rRNA from 1 species